UGUGAGCCGCGGUGCAGGCUAGGCGCGCGCCGGGACGAGCCUGCGGUCGGCCCUCCCGGAGGACAGCAGCCGCUCUCCAUGCCUGUGUGGUGCUGCCGCUGCUCCCUGGCCGGUCAUUUCAGGUGACUUUCCUCUCGGGAUGGGUCGGAGCUGGCUCUGCCGCGUGUGCUCCUCGGCCGCCGCCCGCUGGGCCGGCGCUGCUUGGAGCUCCGGGGACCCUGCUCUUUUCUUGUCCCCUCUUCUUGUUCCUGGACCGCGCGGGUCACAGGACGGCGAGAGUGGCUAGGCCGGCGAAACUACAGUGACACUGAAACUGAAGGAGAGAUUUUUAAUUCUUUAGUGCAAUAUCUUGGUGACAAUUUGGGGCCAAAAGUUAAAGGGAUGCCAUUAGUUGAAGAAACUUCUUUACUUGAAGAUUCAUCAGUGACUUUGCCUAUGGUAAUAAUUGGAAAUGGCCCUUCUGGAAUAUGCCUUUCGUAUAUGCUGUCGGGCUACAGACCAUAUUUAUCAUCUGAAGCAAUACAUCCAAAUGCAAUCUUACAUAGUAAGCUAGAAGAAGCACGGCAUCUCUCCAUUGUGGAUCAGGACUUAGAAUACCUGUCCGAGGGUCUUGAGGGACGGUCGUCCAAUCCAGUGGCAGUACUUUUUGACACCCUUCUUCACCCAGAUGCUGACUUUGGGUAUGACUCCCCGUCCAUUCUGCACUGGAAACUGGAACAGCACCAUUCUAUCCCUCAUUUAGUUCUUGGUAAGGGCCCGCCUGGUGUACUCAUGCUUUCAUUUAACUAGAACAUUCUUUUCUACCGUGGCAUUUAGAAAGCCAGGCAUUCAAACAGAAAUCACACUUAAUUCACAUUGGGUCACCUUAGUGCUCGAGAUGGUCCAAGAGACAGCAGCAUCAGCUUCCUCAGCAGCUCAUUAGGCAUUCAGACUUAUACACCUUCAUAAGAACGCCAAGGAUUAGAUGUGUAUUCAUUGACGCUUGAAGUACACUGGUCUAAAUGAAAAUGGGCUAUAAAUAUGUGUGCUGAGGUAGGAUAGGAGGAAGCAUUUGCAACUCAGGUUUUAUUUAUUUCUAAAUUAUCAGUUAUAUAAACUUAAUUUAUUAUCAAAUAUGAUGAUCUUUAAAAAUAUUUUUACAAGUUGAAAUUGUGACAGAUAGGUACCUGACAUCUUUAACUUCUCAUAAUUUAAUAUUUCAAUAAUGCUGACGUGCAAGAACCCACCAAGAUACUUUUUAGAGAUUUAUUCUGUUUAGCCGUCAUAACAACUAAUGAAUCUGAUUUGUAAUUCAAUAAAUUGUGGAUGGAACUAC
rnacentral:lncRNA from 1 species